rnacentral:rRNA from 1 species
UCUUGGACAAUGGGGGCAACCCUGAUCCAGCGACGCCGCGUGGGUGACGAAGGCCUUCGGGUUGUAAAGCCCUUUUGCCGGGGGCGAUGAUGACGGUACCCGGCGAAUAAGCACCGGCUAACUCCGUGCCAGCAGCCGCGGUAAGACGGAGGGUGCUAGCGUUGUUCGGAUUUACUGGGCGUAAAGGGCGCGCAGGCGGCUUUGUCAGUCGGGUGUGAAAGCCCGGGGCUCAACCCCGGAACGGCACCCGAGACGGCGAGGCUCGAGACCGGGAGAGGAGGGUGGAAUAGCCAGUGUAGAGGUGAAAUUCGUAGAUAUUGGCUGGAACACCGGUGGCGAAAGCGGCUCUCUGGCCCGGUUCUAACGCUGAGGCGCGAAAGCGUGGGGAGCAAAC